rnacentral:lncRNA from 1 species
GAAUUUAUUCAGAUUUCCCCAGGUUUUUUCCCACUAAUGUCUAUUUUUUGUUCCACAAUUUAAUCCAGGAUACAACAUUACAUUUAGUAGUGGGUUAUUUUCAAAUGCAGAUGGUCAAUGCCCAGGAACAAUUUCUUGGCCUGCCAGACUCUGAGACCAGUGUCAAGUCCUCAACAAGGCCUAAGGGGCCCAUGCCUGCUUCUGCAGCCUCAUCUCACCCUGCUCUGAGGCUUCAAGGAGGAGCCACUGGGAUUUCCAAUCAUCCCCUGCUAUCGACUUUGCAUACUUGGGACCACUUUCGUGAUGGUUUAUAGUGCCUCAUUCACUCCCCAUUAGACUGUCAGCUCCUCCAGGGCAGGGAUCAUGUUGCUGUUGUUCUUUGCUAUAUCUCUAGCACCUAGAACAUGCCUUCAUUGGUAGAGUGGGAUGGAGGAGGGGAGUGGGGAAGGGGGUGC